AUUCGUGAUCCUCGUUAAAUUUGUGGUAAAGUUCAUGUUUUAUAUUGUACGAAAGCGUACUUCCGGUUUUUAGAAUUUUCCUGGACUAUUAUGCAUCAGGAAAAAUCUCGAUUUUGACCAAAUUCUGGAUUUCGCUUAAAUUACACUUAAUCGACCCCAAAUUUCACGUAGAUCACGAAUAUUUAGUUUAUUUUUACGACAGCUUAAUGGUUAAGGCGCUAUCGCUUACUUCCGGUAUACUUCCGGAAAAUUUGCAUAAAACUAGCAAGUGAGCUUUGUUCUCUGUAGAAUUCUAAAGACUCCAUGCUAAUUUUAAGCAAAGAGAAAUGGUAUCAUCAAGAUUUGUGAGCAUCUUAAGACCAGUCCUUCAAAUACUGAGUUUUGAGACGUGUCAAAUAGAUGGCGACAUGGCGUGUUGAUGGUGUCAGUUAGGCUUAUGAUGUCAAAAGUUAAGCUAUCUUUUCUUCGAAAAUUAUCAAUGAUUUAAUGAAUUCAUAGGUAAAUUCGAGUGAUAUUUCGUCUGUAACUUGUCGGAGGAAACGUGAAAGCAUAGACUCGUAGUCUAUGGUGAAAGGGUCGUGCAGCCUACAUCAAUGUUCAAAAUCAUUGUAUUCUACUAAAUGUGCCAUCGAAAUGAUACAGGCAACAACCAACACUAGCUUUAUUACAAUCACCAACCCUAUUAUGGAUCAAUCUCUCAUUCCAUCUUCUAAAGAACCUUGGAUAACAGAUCAUUAGUUUCAUGUGUUCUAAACUCCAGGUUUCUAAAUUUGCAUGGCAGACUUAAUGAGAAGUCACGUCCUUUCAAGAAAGUCAUCAAGGUCCCUUGUUUACUAACCUUUUGGCUGCUAUUUGAGGGUAAUCCUUCGCUACUUGUCAUGGCCUUCAUCCACAGGUGAAAAACCGACGAGAGAAUGCUGCAAUCCAAGACUGAUAAAUUGUUUAAUCGUUACAUUAAAUUAUAAGUGCAUAUUUGGGCUCCCUUCUUUUCUGUGGCCCCGUUUCCCAAACUAACCACUAACCAACGCCCGCCGGUGGUCACUCACCCGCUGUGAAACCAGGAGGAGGGGAGGGCU